rnacentral:rRNA from 1 species
GAUGAACGCUGGCGGCGUGCCUAAUACAUGCAAGUCGAGCGAACAGAUGAGGAGCUUGCUCCUCUGACGUUAGCGGCGGACGGGUGAGUAACACGUGGAUAACCCACCUAUAAGACUGGGAUAACUUCGGGAAACCGGAGCUAAUACCGGAUAAUAUAUUGAACCGCAUGGUUCAAUAGUUAAAGACGGUUUUGCUGUCACUUAUAGAUGGAUCCGCGCCGCAUUAGCUAGUUGGUAAGGUAACGGCUUACCAAGGCAACGAUGCGUAGCCGACCUGAGAGGGUGAUCGGCCACACUGGAACUGAGACACGGUCCAGACUCCUACGGGAGGCAGCAGUAGGGAAUCUUCCGCAAUGGGCGAAAGCCUGACGGAGCAACGCCGCGUGAGUGAUGAAGGUCUUCGGAUCGUAAAACUCUGUUAUUAGGGAAGAACAAAUGUGUAAGUAACUAUGCACGUCUUGACGGUACCUAAUCAGAAAGCCACGGCUAACUACGUG